CUUUUAAUAAAAUUAUAAAUA
rnacentral:tRNA from 1 species